GGAUUGUGGCUCAGUGGUAGAGUGCUUGCCUAGCAUGCAUGAGGCACUGGGUUCGAUCUCUAGCACCA
rnacentral:tRNA from 1 species